rnacentral:rRNA from 1 species
CAAGUCGAACGAUGAAGUUCCUUCGGGAAUGGAUUAGUGGCGAACGGGUGAGGAACACGUGAGAAACCUGCCUUUCAUUCUGGGAUAACACCGGGAAACCGGUGCUAAUACCGGAUACUCCAUCUUGGCGGCAUCGCCGAGCUGGGAAAAAAUUUUGAUGAAAGAUGGUCUCGCGGCCUAUCAGCUAGUUGGUGAGGUAAAGGCUCACCAAGGCGACGACGGGUAGCCGGCCUGAGAGGGCGACCGGCCACACUGGGACUGAGACACGGCCCAGACUCCUACGGGAGGCAGCAGUAGGGAAUAUUGGGCAAUGGGCGAAAGCCUGACCCAGCGACGCCGCGUGAGGGAUGAAGGUCUUCGGAUUGUAAACCCCUUUCAGUAGGGAAGAAGCGAAAGUGACGGUACCUAAAGAAGAAGCACCGGCUAACUAUGUGCCAGCAGCCGCGGUAAUACAUAGGGUGCAAGCGUUGUCCGGAAUUAUUGGGCGUAAAGAGCUUGUAGGUCGUUUGUCGCGUCGAUUGUGAAAAUCUGAGGCUCAACCUCAGACCUGCAGUCGAUACGGGCAAACUAGAGUGUGGUAGGGGAGACUGGAAUUCCUGGUGUAGCGGUGGAAUGCGCAGAUAUCAGGAGGAACACCAAUGGCGAAGGCAGGUCUCUGGGCCAUAACUGACACUGAGGAGCGAAAGUGCGGGGAGCGAACAGGAUUAGAUACCCUGGUAGUCCGCACCGUAAACGGUGGGCACUAGUUGUGGGAACCUUCCACGGUUUCCGUGACGCAGCAAACGCAUUAAGUGCCCCGCCUGGGGAGUACGAUCGCAAGAUUAAAACUCAAAGGAAUUGACGG